GAUGAACGCUGGCGGCGUGCCUAAUACAUGCAAGUCGAGCGAACAGACGAUGAGCUUGCGCCUCUGACGUUAGCGGAGGACGGGUGAGAAACACGUGUAUAACCUACCUAUAAGAGUGGUAUAACUACGGAAAACCGGAUCUAAUAGCGGAUAAUAUAUUGAACCGCGGUGUGCAAUAGUGAAAUACGGCUUUGCUGGCAGUUAUAGAUGGAUCCGGGCCGCUUUGGCUAGUUGGUAAGGUAACGGCUUACCACGGCGACGAGGCGUUGGCGACGUCAGAGACUGAUAGCCGACCCUGGAGCUGGGCCGGGGACAAGACUCCUAAGGGAGGGCGCAGUCGCGAAUCUUACGCAAUGGGCGAAAGCCUGGCGGAGCAAGGCGGAGUGAGUGAUGACGGUCCUCGGAUCGUAAAGCUCUGUUAUUAGGGAUGAACCACUGUGUCCGUAAAUAUGCAGGUCUUGACGGUACCUAAUAAGAAAGCCCCGGCUAACUACGUG
rnacentral:rRNA from 1 species